GGAUGUUAGCGGCGGACGGGUGAGUAACACGUGGGUAACCUGCCUGUAAGACUGGGAUAACUCCGGGAAACCGGAGCUAAUACCGGAUAGUUCCUUGAACCGCAUGGUUCAAGGAUGAAAGACGGUUUCGGCUGUCACUUACAGAUGGACCCGCGGCGCAUUAGCUAGUUGGUGAGGUAACGGCUCACCAAGGCGACGAUGCGUAGCCGACCUGAGAGGGUGAUCGGCCACACUGGGACUGAGACACGGCCCAGACUCCUACGGGAGGCAGCAGUAGGGAAUCUUCCGCAAUGGACGAAAGUCUGACGGAGCAACGCCGCGUGAGUGAUGAAGGUUUUCGGAUCGUAAAGCUCUGUUGUUAGGGAAGAACAAGUGCAAGAGUAACUGCUUGCACCUUGACGGUACCUAACCAGAAAGCCACGGCUAACUACGUGCCAGCAGCCGCGGUAAUACGUAGGUGGCAAGCGUUGUCCGGAAUUAUUGGGCGUAAAGGGCUCGCAGGCGGUUUCUUAAGUCUGAUGUGAAAGCCCCCGGCUCAACCGGGGAGGGUCAUUGGAAACUGGGAAACUUGAGUGCAGAAGAGGAGAGUGGAAUUCCACGUGUAGCGGUGAAAUGCGUAGAGAUGUGGAGGAACACCAGUGGCGAAGGCGACUCUCUGGUCUGUAACUGACGCUGAGGAGCGAAAGCGUGGGGAGCGAACAGGAUUAGAUA
rnacentral:rRNA from 1 species